rnacentral:rRNA from 1 species
AGAGUUUGAUCCUGGCUCAGAACGAACGCUGGCGGCGUGGAUAAGACAUGCAAGUCGAGCGGGAUUUCUUUUGGUAGCAAUACCGAAGGAAGUCUAGCGGCGAACGGGUGCUUAACACGUGGGCAACCUGCCAAGAAGUGGGGGAUAGCUCGCCGAAAGGCGAAUUAAUACCGCAUGUGAUUAGAGAGGACAUCCUUUCGAAAUUAAAGUCGGGGCAACCUGACGCUUUUUGUGGGGCCCGCGGCCUAUCAGCUAGUUGGUGAGGUAACGGCCCACCAAGGCUUUGACGGGUAGCUGGUCUGAGAGGACGACCAGCCACACUGGGACUGAGACACGGCCCAGACACCUACGGGUGGCAGCAGUCGAGAAUUUUUGACAAUGGGGGAAACCCUGAUCGAGCGACGCCGCGUGGAGGAUGAAGGUCUUCGGAUUGUAAACUCCUGUCAUUGGGGAACAAGGUGCAUACGUUAACUGCGUGUGUAUUGAUAGUACCCGAAGAGGAAGGGACGGCUAACUCUGUGCCAGCAGCCGCGGUAAUACAGAGGUCUCAAGCGUUGUUCGGAUUCAUUGGGCGUAAAGGGUGCGUAGGCGGCGCGGUAAGUCGGGUGUGAAAUCUCGGGGCUUAACUCCGAAACUGCAUUCGAUACUGCCGUGCUUGAGGACUGGAGAGGAGACUGGAAUUUACGGUGUAGCGGUGAAAUGCGUAGAUAUCGUAAGGAAGACCAGUGGCGAAGGCGGGUCUCUGGACAGUUCCUGACGCUGAGGCACGAAGGUCAGGGGAGCAAACGGGAUUAGAUACCCCAGUAGUCC